ensembl:lncRNA
GGGGAGGUCGCCCGCCCCUUCCGGACGCUGCGGCUUGGGCAUCGCCGGGCCGUCCUGCCACGCGCGGUCCCCCCGAAGGGAGUUGAGACGCUCCUGGACCUCGCCACCCGGCUGCCACCAAUGCGGGCCCGGGGCCUGAGCUCGGGGAGUGAGCUCGCGGCCGCAAGGCCAACGCUCACACUUUGGUGCCCGGAGCGCGAGCGACGGAGUGCCGGCCAGCCUGCGGACCUGGGGCCGGCCCGGCUCUCUCACCCGGGCUUUGGGAACCUGGAGGAGUCGCCAACUUCUUUGUACCUCCGUUCCCUCUUCUGUGAAAAGGGAACAUAACAGCACCCAUCUCACCGAGUGGUUGGGGACAGUAAAUGAGCUAACUGUGCACCAGCGCCAGGCAGAGAGUCGAUACCACACGAGCGUCCCCGGCUAGUUUUAUUGUUGUUGGCAACCCGUGUGACCACCUGCCUUGCUCCAUGCCCUGGGUUGGAGGCUUCGUGAGGUGGAGACCGUAUCACGCUCUGCUCUGGUCUCAGCACAUACAAAGGCUCUGCAGGAGCAGAGUUGAUCAGCAGACAGGAAGAAAAGCAGAGGGGAGGUGACUGGUAUUUAUUGGCCCUGGAAGGUCUCUGAGAGGUGGCCCAGCGCCCCCCACUCUCCACCACCACCAAACGAGAGAAAGCCUGGCCUCCUCCCAAGAGAGGAGAUUGAUGGGAAUCCUGGAAGAGAGGAGCACUGCUGGGCUCCCCAGGGUUUAGCCUAGGACACCAGCAGCAUCAUAGCAAAGCCCUGUGUCCAGCAUGGCCCAUCCAUGGGGCAGCCCUGACAGCAGGAUGCCUGGGCCUGAGGACAGGCUGCCUCACAAAGUCUCGUGCGUCUCAGAGUGUUCAGAGUCCCCAAACCCUCUAGAGGCUGCAGAGCGGCUGAGAAGGCCACCACCUAGAAAAGCCCUUGCAGCUGGGGACUGCCGGGCAAGCACGAACUCAGCUGAGGUCGGUAAGACCAGAGGAUGAUCUAUGGACCAGAACCCCUCCCCAGAUGCCAGGACAAGCCUUAAGCAGUCCAUGUCCUUCACCCCCAAAGAACUCCAGUUACCAUCCAGAGAAAAAAAGGGGUUUGAAGAGGGAAGAAUUCUGAACAGCUUGUGCUGUUACCCCAAAGAGACUGAGUCUUGAACCAGUGGAGACUAAACAACCCUGAAUUGGCAAGAUUUUUUCUGGCAUCAGAUGUAAAUGAGGAUUCAUGAGCAAAGUUGGCUUCAGUUAUGAAAAAGAAAGAAAAUUAAGUUUUUGCACACAGAGCCUCCGUGAUUCUUGCUACGCCAAUUUCUUAUUAUUGAUGGAACUGCCAGUAACCACUCAGAACCACAGCGUUCUCUGAGAUACCUUUAGAAACCACUGUCCCAGAUGGACUUCCUUCUACAGCCUAGUUUUGCUCCUUUCACACAUUUUCCAUCCACUGACCUCCAAAUAAAUGCUUUUUAAAUGUGCAUCUCUCAUUACCUCCCAUCACUGCAAGUUCUUGGUUUUACUUGACUCGACACUCGCCCCUUCUCUAAGCAAAUUUGCGUGGGCUUCUGUGAUCGUCUUUCUAUUCUGAUUUUGCAAGAUUUUUACCAAUCAGAAAGCCACAUGUGAACUACAGAUGAGAGCUGAUGAUAAAGUGUAAAAUAUCAUAAGACUGCCACAGCAAUAAACUAUUUCUUAACCUACUCUAUAACAAGAGGAAGGAAAGAUGGGUAUGGCAGACAGUCCUGCCAACCCCUUGUUCUAAUUGCAGAUUUAAUCUUGCUCAAUGAAGGCAAAUCACUGAAAGUGGCUUCUUGCGCUGGUUUUCCCUGUGCUAACACAGAAACACACUGCAAAUUCCAGAGGCCGAUAGACUUAGUAACUUCUAGGAAUUACUGCACUUAACAGAACCAGACUGGUGGUGCCUUUCUCUUAUGCCAGCUGUCCGAUUCGAUGAUUGCUUCAACACAUGAAACUUAACCCCAAGAACCAAACCAUCCAUCACUACCCACAAGGCAGCCAUUACCGGCUUCUCCACGUCAGCCAAGAAGGGCCUAUUGAAAUGUUUGUGCUUAGUCACAUGCACGACACAUAACAAGG